AGAGUUUGAUCCUGGCUCAGGAUGAACGCUAGCUACAGGCUUAACACAUGCAAGUCGAGGGGCAGCGGGAAGGAAGCUUGCUUCUUGCCGGCGACCGGCGCACGGGUGAGUAACGCGUAUCCAACCUGCCCGCGGCUCAGGGAUAGCCUCGUGAAAACGAGAUUAAUACCUGAUGGUCUUGUUGGUUGACAUCAAUUGACAAGUAAAGAUUUAUCGGCAGCGGAUGGGGAUGCGUUCCAUUAGGUUGUUGGCGGGGUAACGGCCCACCAAGCCGACGAUGGAUAGGGGUUCUGAGAGGAAGGUCCCCCACAUUGGAACUGAGACACGGUCCAAACUCCUACGGGAGGCAGCAGUGAGGAAUAUUGGUCAAUGGGCGAGAGCCUGAACCAGCCAAGUAGCGUGAGGGAAUGACUGCCCUAUGGGUUGUAAACCUCUUUUAUACGGGAAUAAAAUGCGCCACGUGUGGUGUUUUGCAUGUACCGUAAGAAUAAGCAUCGGCUAAUUCCGUGCCAGCAGCUGC
rnacentral:rRNA from 1 species